UACGAAGGGGGCUAGCGUUGUUCGGAAUUACUGGGCGUAAAGCGUGCGUAGGUGGUUCGUUAAGUCUGUCGUGAAAGCCCCGGGCUCAACCUGGGAAUGGCGAUGGAUACUGGCGGGCUAGAGUGCGGUAGAGGAGAGUGGAAUUCCCGGUGUAGCAGUGAAAUGCGUAGAGAUCGGGAGGAACAUCAGUUGCGAAGGCGGCUCUCUGGACCAGCACUGACACUGAGGCACGAAAGCGUGGGGAGCAAACAGG
rnacentral:rRNA from 1 species